rnacentral:rRNA from 1 species
CUCUACUCCGUUGCCAUCCGCCUCGGUAAUUCGGAAUGUCCGGUCGUUAUCCUGAUUUCUUGUGUCUAAAUGUGGCGUAGGCCGGAUAUUAAUCGACUUUUGAAAUGUAGACGCUCAACGUCUGCACUUCAGCGCGAACUGUUUUCCUUGACUUCGCACAAAGCUGGCGGAAUUCGUUGUGUAGCGGUGAAAUGCUUAGAUAUCACGAAGAACUCCGAUUGCGAAGGCAGCUCACUGGAGCGCAACUGACGCUGAAGCUCGAAAGUGCGGGUAUCGAACAGGAUUAGAUACCCCAGUAGUC